CGACCCCAGGUCAGGCGGGACCACCCGCUGAGUUUAAGCAUAUCAA
rnacentral:rRNA from 1 species